rnacentral:lncRNA from 1 species
CUUGGGUGGUGGGGUUGGCCCACUUCCUCCGCCGGACUCGGAAUGCCGCGAGACUUUGCGAGGGGCCUCCGUGUGCGAAAAAUAGGCCGCGGGCAAAGCCGCGCCGAAAAAUAACCACCUGAAGGCCGGGGCGCCAAGUUCGUCCUGCGGAAAAUGGCCACAAAAACGGGUGGGCUAUACCCUUGGGGGGUGGGGCUGGCCAACUUCGUACGCCGGACACGGAAUGCUGCGAGACUUUGCGAGGGGCCUCCGUGUGCCAAAAAUAGGCAGCGGGCUAAGCCGCACCCAAAAAUAACUGCCCGAAGGCGGGGGUGCCAAGUUCGUCCAGCGGAAAAAGGCCACAAAAACGGGUGGGCUAUACCCUUGGGGGGUGGGGCUGGCCCACUUCGUUCGCCGGACUCGGAAUGCCGCGAGACUUUGCGAGGGUCCUCCGUGUGCCAAAAAUAGGCCGCGGGCAAAGCCGCACCCAAAAAUAACAACCCGAAGGCCGGGGCGCCAAGUUCGUCCAGCGGAAAAUGGCCACAAAAACGGGUGGGCUAUAGCCUUGGGGGGUGGGGUUGGCCCACUUCGUCCGCCGGACUCGGAAUGCCGCGAGACUUUGCGAGGGGCCUCCGUGUGCGAAAAAUAGGCCGCGGUCAAAGCCGCGCUGAAAAAUAACCACCCGAAGGCCGGGGCGCCAACUUCCUCCAGCGGAAAAUGGCCACAAAAACGGGUGGGCUAUACCCUUGGGGGGUGGGGUUGGCCAACUUCGUCCGCCGGACUCAGAAUGCCAUGAGACUUUCCGAGGGGCCUCCGUGUGCCAAAAAUAGGCCGCGGGCUAAGCCGCGCCCAAAAAUAACUGCCCGAAGGCCGGGGCGCCAUGUUCGUCCAGCGGAAAAAGGACAGAAAAACGGGUGGGCUAUNNNNNNNNNNNNNNNNNNNNNNNNNNNNNNNNNNNNNNNNNNNNNNNNNNNNNNNNNNNNNNNNNNNNNNNNNNNNNNNNNNNNNNNNNNNNNNNNNNNNNNNNNNNNNNNNNNNNNNNNNNNNNNNNNNNNNNNNNNNNNNNNNNNNNNNNNNNNNNNNNNNNNNNNNNNNNNNGGCUAUAGCCUUGGGGGGUGGGGUUGGCCCACUUCGUCCGCCGGACUCGGAAUGCCGCGAGACUUUGCGAGGGGCCUCCGUGUGCGAAAAAUAGGCCGCGGUCAAAGCCGCGCUGAAAAAUAACCACCCGAAGGCCGGGGCGCCAACUUCCUCCAGCGGAAAAUGGCCACAAAAACGGGUGGGCUAUACCCUUGGGGGGUGGGGUUGGCCAACUUCGUCCGCCGGACUCAGAAUGCCAUGAGACUUUCCGAGGGGCCUCCGUGUGCCAAAAAUAGGCCGCGGGCUAAGCCGCGCCCAAAAAUAACUGCCCGAAGGCCGGGGCGCCAUGUUCGUCCAGCGGAAAAAGGCCAGAAAAACGGGUGGGCUAUAUAGCCUUGGGGGGUGGGGCUGGCCAACUUCGUCCGCCGGACUCGGAAUGCCGCGAGACUUUACGAGGGGCCUCUGUGUGCCAAAAAUAGGCCGUGAGUAAAGCCGCGCCCAAAAAUAACUGCCCGAAGGCCGGGGCGCCAAGUUCGUCCAGCUGAAAAAGGCCACAAAAACGGGUGGGCUAUAGCCUUCGGGGGUGGGGCUGGCCAACUUCGUCCGCCGGACUUGGAAUGCCGCGAGACUUUGCGAGGGGCCUCCGUGUGCCAAAAAUACGCCGCGGGCAAAGCCACUCCCAAAAAUAACCGCCCGAAGGCCGGGGCGCCAAGUUCGUCCAGCGGAAAAAGGCCACAAAAAAAGGGUGGGCUUAUACCUUGAGGGGUGCGGCUGGCCAACUUCGUCCGCCGGACUCGGAAUGCCGCGAGACUUUGCGAGGGGCCUUCGUGUGCCAAAAAUAGGCCGCGGGUAAAGCCGCGCCCAAAAAUAACCGCCCGAAGGCCGGGGCGCCAAGUUCGUCCAGCUGAAAAAGGCCACAAAAACAGGUGGACUAUAGCCUUGGGGGGUGGGGUUGGCCCACUUCGUCCGCCGGACUCGGAAUGCCGCGAGACUUUGCGAGGGGCCUCCGUGUGCGAAAAAUAGGCCGCGGGCAAAGCUGCGCCGAAAAAUAACCACCCGAAGGCCGGGGCGCCAAGUUCGUCCAGCGGAAAAUGGCCACAAAAACGGGUGGGCUAUACCCUUGGGGGGUGGGGCUAGCCAACUUCGUCCGCCGGACUCAGAAUGCCAUGAGACUUUCCGAGGGGCCUCCGUGUGCCAAAAAUAGGCCGCGGGCUAAGCCGCUCCCAAAAAUAACUGCCCGAAGGCCGGGGCGCCAUGUUCGUCCAGCGGAAAAAGGCCACAAAAACGGGUGGGCUAUAGCCUUGGGUGGUGGGGCUGGCCAACUUCGUCCGCCGGACUCGGAAUGCCGCGAGACUUUGCGAGGGGCCUCCGUGUGCCAAAAAUAGGCCGUGAGUAAAGCCACACCCAAAAAUAACUGCCCGAAGGCCGGGGCGCCAAGUUCGUCCAGCUGAAAAAGGCCACAAAAACAGGUGGGCUAUAGCCUUGGGGGGGGGGGGGUUGGCCCACUUCGUCUGCCGGACUCGGAAUGCCGCGAGACUUUGUGAGGGGCCUCCGUGUGCGAAAAAUAGGCCGCGGGCAAAGCCGCGCCGAAAAAAAACCACCCGAAGGCCGGGGCGCCAAGUUCGUCCAGCGGAAAAAGGCCACAAAAACGGGUGGGCUAUAGCCUUGGGGGGUGGGGCUGGCCAACUUCGUCCGCCGGACUCGGAAUGCCGCGAGACUUUGCAAGGGGCCUCCGUGUGCCAAAAAUAGGCCGCGGGCAAAGCCGCUAUCGAAAAUAACAGCCCGAAGGCCGGGGCGCCAAGUUCGUCCAGCGGAAAAAGGCCACAAAAAAGGGUGGGCUAUAGCCUUGGGGGGUGGGGCUGGCCAACUUCGUCCGCCGGACUCGGAAUGCCGCGAGACUUUGCGAGGGGCCUCCGUGUGCCAAAAAUAGGCCGUGAGUAAAGCCGCGCCCAAAAAUAACCACCCGAAGGCCGGGGCGCCAAAUUCGUCCAGCUGAAAAAGGCCACAAAAACAGGUGGGCUAUAGCCUUGGGUGGUGGGGUUGGCCCACUUCGUCCGCCGGACUCGGAAUGCCGCGAGAGUUUGCGAGGGGCCUCCGUGUGCGAAAAAUAGGCCACGGGCAAAGCCACGCCGAAAAAUAACCACCCGAAGGCCGGGGCGCCAAGUUCGUCCAGCGGAAAAUGGCCACAAAAACGGGUGGGCUAUACCCUUGGGGGGUGGGGCUGGCCAACUUCGUACGCCGGACACGGAAUGCUGCGAGAUUUUGUGAGGGGCCUCCGUGUGUCAAAAAUAGGCAGCGGGCUAAGCCGCACCCAAAAAUAACUGCCCGAAGGCGGGGGUAGCAAGUUCGUCCAACGGAAAAAGGCCACAAAAACGGGUGGGCUAUACCCUUGGGGGGUGGGGCUGGCCCACUUCGUCCGCCGGACUCGGAAUGCCGCGAGACUUUGCGAGGGUCCUCCGUGUGCCAAAAAUAGGCCGCGGGCAAAGCCGCACCCAAAAAUAACCACCCGAAGGCCGGGGCGCCAAGUUCGUCCAGCGGAAAAUGGCCACAAAAACGGGUGGGCUAUAGCCUUGGGGGGUGGGGCUGGCCAACUUCGUCCGCCGGACUCGGAAUGCCGCGAGACUUUGCGAGGGGCCUCCGUGUGCCAAAAAUAGGCCGCGGGCAAAGCCGCUCCCGAAAAUAACCGCCCGAAGGCCGGGGCGCGAAGUUCGUCCAGCGGAAAAAGGCCACAAAAAAGGGUGGGCUAUAGCCUUGGGGGGUGGGGCUGGCCAACUUCGUCCGCCGGACUCGGAAUGCCGCGAGACUUUGCGAGGGGCCUCCGUGUGCCAAAAAUAGGCCGCGGGUAAACCCGCGCCAAAUAAAUAACCGCCCGAAGGCCGGGGCGCCAAGUUCGUCCAGCUGAAAAAGGCCACAAAAACAGGUGGGCUAUAGCCUUGGGGGGUGGGGUUGGCCCACUUCGUCCGCCGGACUCGGAAUGCCGCGAGACUUUGCGAGGGGCCUCCGUGUGCGAAAAAUAGGCCGCGGGCAAAGCCGCGCCGAAAAAUAAUCACCCGAAGGCCGGGGCGCCAAGUUUGUCCUGCGGAAAAUGGCCACAAAAACGGGUGGGCUAUACCCUUGGGGGG